CAUAAAUAUCAUAUUGAAUAAGGCAGAAUUUAAGAAUAAAGCAGAAUUAACGACUGCUUUAACUGCAAUCGGAAUUGUGGAAGGCAGGUGUUUUGAAAGGCCCCUGGACGAUACCAUCCAUCCACCCUUUCCUCUAGCAGAUGGCGCGCGGCUGUCUGUGUUGAGUGGUGAUAAAGCAAUCUUCAUUGGCUCUAUAACCAUGAUAGGAAACAAGAUGAAAUACACAGCCGUGUUGGACACGACAACAUGCACUCCCGUCUCGGCAGCGGUCAAUUCGAAAGAUCCUAACGACACUUCCACGAUGAGCAUAAGUUAUUCUAACUUCGGCCAAGUGGAUCCUGCCAGCUUCAAUGUACCGUCCAACUGCAACUACAGCAAGUAGAAGAGAGCCUCGCAAGGCAUUGAAUAUCUGAGCAGUAUAAGUAAUCUAAAUAAAAUGCCAUUCGUUGCAAAACGUUA